CCUACGGGUGGCAGCAGUGGGGGAUAUUGCACAAUGGGGGAAACCCUGAUGCAGCGACGCCGCGUGGGUGAAGAAGGGCCUCGGCGCGUAAAGCCCUGUCAGCAGGGAAGAAAAUGACGGUACCUGAAGAAGAAGCCCCGGCUAACUACGUGUCAGCAGCCGCGGUAAUACGUAGGGGGCAAGCGUUAUCCGGAUUUACUGGGUGUAAAGGGGGCGCACACGGCGCUGCAAGCCAGGAGUGAAAGCCCGGGGCCCAACCCCGGGACUGCUCUUGGAACUGCGUGGCUAGAGUGCAGGAGUGGCAGGCGGAAUUCCUGGUGUAGCGGUGAAAUGCGUAGAUAUCAGGAGGAACACCGGUGGCGAAGGCGGCCUGCUGGACUGCACCUGACGUUGAGGCCCGAAAGCGUGGGGAGCAAACAGGAUUAGAUACCCUAGUAGUC
rnacentral:rRNA from 1 species